rnacentral:tRNA from 1 species
CAAUGUGUAGCUAAUAGAUAGCAUCUCCCUUACACUGAGAAGUUCCCUGUGUAAUUCAGGGCAUAUUGA